UCUCUCUCCCUCUCUCCGUGUUUGGCUUCGCCGUCCGCGGUCAAUCCUCCUCUGUGCCCUCCUCUCUCUCUAUCUCUCUUCGGGCGAAGAUGAAGCGGCCGGUGAAGUUCAACGCCGACCCUAGGGCACGGCGCACCGCGUUCAAGAAGAGGAGAGCCUGCUUCCUCAAGAAGGCCUAUGAGCUCUCCACCCUCACCGCCACCGACGUCGCCGCCAUCUCCUUCGCUCCACAUGAUGCACCUCCCGGCGCUGUCCCCGACCUCCUCACCUGGCCUCAGGACCGGAAAGAGGUGGUCCGCAUUAUCCGCCGCCUCCCUAAGUACGGCGACGGCGCCGGUCCCGGCAUCAAUAAAACGCCGAAAAUCAAGCCCCCGGAGGAGGUUGCCGUCGACCAGGCGUGGGACGACGAGGGGGCGCUUUGGACCAUCGUGAGGUCCCUGCUGGAACCAGAGAUCCUGGCCCUGAGAAAUAGCGGAACUAAGUUACCGGAGGAACCGGAGUGCUCGAGCUCCCAUCACAUCCUAGGGCUUCAAGAUCCUCUUCCUCCUCCUCCUCCUCUCGCGGCGGCGAUCGUCGACGAUGCCUCCGACCCCACUGCCAUGAGGAUUCACGAGCUCCUGAGUAUGCCCGAUACCUUCUACGGGAACGAUGAGGCCUCCUUCGCUGAGUUGCUGCACCUGAUGCAACAAGAGUAGACCAGCAACAUCUGCGAUAACUUCUUCAGCUACAAGGAAAAUGGGUCCUGUAAUGCAGAAGGAUAUGCUGACUUCAAGCAAUCGCUCAACGAGAUGCCAUCAAGCAUCUAUCUUUUCUCAUUCAACCAGCAGUGUUGAGAAAUUGCUCUUUCUCAGAGUACAUCCUGUCUCCACCAAUCUACUAUGCAAACCAUCAUCUUUGACAAGACACCCUGAAGGAGGCCAUUUUAGAAUUAUUACCCAUGAGUGACAGCCAGUGCUAUUUAUUUGAUUCUUAGAAGUUUUCAGCUUCAUGUGGCAACAAGUUCUAGCUUGAUGAUGUCAGUGAAUCUCAACAGUUUGUUCCAGAUAUUUUGAAUGGAAUAUUUGAAAUAGCAAUUGAGAUGGAAAAGAUUGAGAAGAAUUCACUGAGAAGCAAUAUGCUGGAGGGGUAUCUUAUGGUAACUCUGUUUGAGCCAUCAACAUCAACCAGACUUUCCUUUGAGCCAGCUAUAAAAAGGCUAGGAGGAUAAGUUUUUUAUUACAGAAGAAGCACGUGAAUUUUCUUUAGCCACGAGGAGAAACUCUCGAAGAUAUAACUACAGUUGAAGGUUACACCGAUAUAAUUGUUUUGAAACACUUCAAAAGUGGAGUUGCUAGAUGGCAGCUUCUACAGCCAGUAUUCUUUUUUAUAAAAGCUGGGAUGAUCAAGGACAUUCUUGGAAUCAUCAAAUUUCAGAAUUGGUACUGCAACUCAGCCCUGCCACUUGGACAUAUGAGUUAUCCUAUGCCUAAUAUGCAUCUUUGACUAUUUAUGCUUGUUUCGAUUCCUGGAUUAGGUGCUUUAUGAAUAAAGACUAACGUUAUUCAAGAAGGCUUGUUGUUUUGCUUCAGUCUUCUUGUUCUCCAAUUCAUCAAGUUUCCCUCAGUGUUCACAAUUGGUGGGAAAUUAUGGUUUAACCAACUAUGAAAAUUCUUUACAUGAAUAAUUUCUACUUAUGUAAUACUCUUUUAGGAUCCUUC